AGUGAACGCUGGCGGUAGGCCUAACACAUGCGAGUCGAACGGCAGCACAGUAAGAGCUUGCUCUUACGGGUGGCGAGUGGCGGACGGGUGAGGAAUACAUCGGAAUCUACUUUUUCGUGGGGGAUAACGUAGGGAAACUUACGCUAAUACCGCAUACGACCUACGGGUGAAAGCAGGGGAUCUUCGGACCUUGCGCGAUUGAAUGAGCCGAUGUCGGAUUUGCUAGUUGGCGGGGUAAAGGCCCACCAAGGCGACGAUCCGUAGCUGGUCUGAGAGGAUGAUCAGCCACACUGGAACUGAGACACGGUCCAGACUCCUACGGGAGGCAGCAGUGGGGAAUAUUGGACAAUGGGCGCAAGCCUGAUCCAGCCAUACCGCGUGGGUGAAGAAGGCCUUCGGGUUGUAAAGCCCUUUUGUUGGGAAAGAAAAGCAGCAGGUUAAUACCUCGCUGUUCUGACGGUACCCAAAGAAUAAGCACCGGCUAACUUCGUG
rnacentral:rRNA from 1 species